UAGACUGGGAUCUGAGCGGUACUUUCACGAAAGGUGUGCUCAGACCCCAGCUAUCUACCGAACGGUCAUUCGGUAAAAUAACAUAAAUAAUGUAGAAGUUAUGGAUUUUUGUGUGAAAUGUUAGUUCUGCUGCACGGAGGGAUAAUCCACUUAACUGGCUAUUCUAGUGGGAGUAUCCCUCUCGUGCAGCAGUGCAUGAUGGGAGAAAUG